AUCGCUAAAGACCUCUGGUUUUUUCGUUCUUCGGAUCUCUCUCUCUUGCGCUCACUACACCCCCACCAUCAGCACUCAUCUCAAUAUCCCCCCCUAGCGCCGACUGGUUUUUGACAUCUAUCCCGAAAGACAUCCUGUGCUGUGUUAGUCGUGAAUAUUAUUACAGUUUUUUGCGGGCAACACGAUCAACGACUUGAAUUUUUUUUUGGUUCCAAGUUGAAAGUUUCUAGUUUCGAACGGGAAGAAAAGGAAAAAAAAAUCUGUUGGUAUUUUUACAACUGGAAAAAUGUGGACGCUUCAAAGGUCAACGGCUAACAACUCUCAAACGGCAGCCAAAGAGAGUUUGGCCAACAAAAGUUUCACCCUACAACGGUUCUCAAACGUACAGCGCGAUAAUUACCGCUCCGGGCCAACUACAGGACAGGACAUGGUUUCACGACGCCGCAUCUUGUCACGAUCCCGUGACGAUCUCCACUUGGACAACUUCCCUGAAGAGGAGGAUGACGUCUGGCACAUCAAGGAGAAACUCUACAAGGACCACAUCCAAGAGGUUUUGGACAAAUGGCAUCAAAUCGACGACGAGAUCUGGGCCAAGCUCAUCGUCAUGGAACGCAAUCGCCGUGUGGCCAAAGCGUACGCCCGGGCCAUCCCCAUUCAGAUUAACGGAAGCGACGAUGGUUUCGACGGAUUCCGGAUUGGAUUGAACGGAUUCGACAACCCGAUGCGUGACAACCGGACCGAGGAAGCCAAACGUCAGAUCGGCGAAGGCGCCAAGGUCCGCAUGGACGAGAAAGGAAACAUCCACAUCAAGCGCGUUUCCAAGAGUAACAUCUACAUCAAAAACACUUCGGAUGAGAACGGCAUCGGCAAUGAUAUCCUCAAGCUGCCGCAGGGAGCCCUGGAAUUCGGCAAAGGCUACCUGCUGUUCGACAUGAAGAAAUUCCAGCAGAACGUGUCCCGCGAACUGAAACGGGCCUAUCCCGAUCGCCGCAAACUGGAAAUGCAAUGCAUCACGGCCAUCGCCUUUGCCAAGAACGAUAUGGAGCUGCUCAACUGUCCCUGCUGGGUCAUGAUUGUCAACAUUGUGGCCAUGGAUAUGCUCAAAUCCAAGAUGCCACCCGUCAGCAAGCGCUCGGACAUUCGCAAUCGCCCGCGCAUUCCCAUUCCCGAUGAGGACCCGUACAGCGUGGCCGGCAGCGGCUCUAGCGGCAGCUCGUCGCACAAUGGCAACAGCAACAACGGCAACGGAACCAUACCGGCCAACUCGAACGCGGUCAUUGGCACUAAACGUGGCGACAAACCACCCAAACUACCACCUCGCGACAAUGGCAUUUACGGCUCAAACAUUCCAAAACCCGACUACGACGAAAUCGACGAGAAUGGAUACAAAGCCUUCGCUUCAACUCGGCCCAGCAAAGAGAAGCUGUUGUCGACCGACAAAAAAUACGACGAUCCUUACUACUGCGGUCUGCGUGCUCGCGUCUCCAACUUCGUGAAGAACAAGAACACCAAUGAGAAGCCGGUCAAAGAGCUCGGAACCGAGAUCAAAAUGAAGAUGACGCCACAUGUGGGCACAUACCAAGCUGCCCUGUCUCAUGGACACCCCAUGCAGACUCAUCAAAUGUGGCACUCGCGAAGCUUCGACAGCGGAAUGGCCUCGCUGCCGAGCAGCGUCACACCCGAUAUUCAACGGUUAUGGAAAGCUUAUCCUUUCGAACGCAAUCCUACGUCGUGGGUACCUUCCCAUCCCCAUGGAUACAGCCCAGACACGGCCACGACGAUCAAGACGUACAAGAAAGCUGUGGCAAACAUCCGCACCCUCAGCACGCCGUACAGCUAAAAACGAGAAGUCACUGACGCCACCAUAAAUAUCCUCCUCCUCCUACUCCUAUCCUUUUACUCCUCUUUACCCUUUUUUGAUUUUACCCUUUUUAUUUUUAUUCCAUUCCAAAAUUUUGUUCCUUGUUUUUUUCCCUUACGUUCACUUACCUUAUAUCCAAAAUGACGACAACAGACGACCGCAACCGAGAUGGCAACAUUUCCAACGAAACAGAGCUCACAGACUCGGCUUACUCCCGCAUCUACGGUCGCUUGCCGAUCCCGCGCAGCUAUGUCCCAAUUGCAGCGCCGUCGCGAGCGUCGUACUACGGGGAGUGGAAUUGAUGUCGUUCUGAGCGUCUUUGGUGAUGGGUGCCGUCAUCUCCCUACCGCGUUCAAGCCCGUCUUUAAAUAGUUGGAACGUAGUAGGGAUGUUGUCUGUGAAUGUACAUGACCGUUCUUAAUCUUUUUUUUUAAACCGUCAAUUUUUUUGCUAUAACUUGGACAUUUUUUUCCGUUUUGUUUGUUUUUCUUUUGUUUUCCGCUCGUUUUUAUUUUUCUUUGCAAGUGGGCCUUGGUCUGUCUCUUUUUUCUUUUCUUCAAAAUGUCUCUUCCUUUUUUAAAAAUGGUUCUUCCCAGUUUCACACAGUCUAGAUUAUUUUGUAAGUAUCGAAAUAUUAGUGAGAAAAGCAGACUUGGACAGUUGACCACAUCUGAGCUCUUUCGCUUUUCCUUGUAGAAAGAGUGUAAACCAAACUGUGUGCUAGGAAAACUUUUGUGUGUGCAUGUACGCUCUUCUUUUUUUUUUUAAUUUUCAUUAUUAUUCCUUGUAUGCGUGAGUGUGUGCGUGUGAAUUCGGGUGGCACCGGGUCGUUGGGUGACCUAUAUAAUAAAGAGACCAUUGGACAACAUGUCAAAAAAGCUUCUGUAGCCGAAACAUCCACGAGAGAAUUUAUUUAAUUUUUCAAUCAUAAAAAACAAGGACGAUCAAGAUUUUUUUCUUUUCUUUCCUCUUUUUUUAUUUUUUACUCAGAAAAAAAAAGAAAUUUGUGCAUAAGUGAUUAUUCCAAUUGUUCUAAAUUCUCUCUUUCCACACUUUUUGUAGAAAACGACCUUUCUUUUGUUUUCGUUAUUUUCUGAAUAGCGUAAUCAGAUAAGGUCUUCUUGCGUUUUAAUUUCUUUUCGUUUCCUGUCUCGUUUUGUGUAUUGAGAUGACUGUAUUGGCGUCCCGAAAAUUCGUCCAUCCAACCGUCUCUGUUCUCUGUAAUAUUUUUCUUCCAAUAAGGGCUGGGUUUUUUUAUUUGGAUCGCAUGAGCGGGUUUUACGUUCAUGUGUUUCCACAACGUUGUGUAUUGUAAAUACUGAAAGAAUUUUCCCCUUUUGCUCUGGCCCUCUUUGCAAUUAAUAAAUAUACGGUUGACGGCUUUCCCUUUA